rnacentral:lncRNA from 1 species
AUGCACCACCUUAGAAAAGACCACGGCCUCCAGCCGUACCCCGACGGGGGACCUGACCUCCGAGCCUCGAUCCUAACCUGUACAAUGAGGAAGGAUGGAGUGUGUGUGAGGUUCCUGGAACAGAGUGGUGCUGGUGGUCACCGAAACAAGCAUUCUAAGAGCGGAAUGGUGGAGAAGGAGGAUUUUAGAAUCAGAUCUCGUCGCUGCUCGACCACUGUCUUGCUGUGUGGCCCAUGUAAGGCAUAUGGCACUCUGCUUCGCACACAGCGGAAGAUCGCCAUCCAGCUCGGGGACAAAUGCACCGGAGACAAGUCAGAAGCAAAGGCAGUGCCCAGGGAAGUGGCAGAAUGAGGCACGAAUACAGGAGCCCAGGAAGGGAGAGACGGGCCACCUGGGGAGGCUGAGGACUUUGUCACAGAGGAGGUGGGGCUUGGGCGGGAGCCAGCAGGAUGGGCAGGAGGUAAGCAGACCUUACUGCCUGACAUUGUUACUUAAUUGUUACCCACACUCGUCUUAUCUCCCAGCCAGAUUGCACAGUCUCAGGGGAGAGUGACCUUUCCCUCCAUAACCGGCACAGAGCCGUGCAUACAGUAAGUGACUAAUAAUCUCCCCUGGAAUGAGGUUGUCAAGAGGUUAAUCUGCAAGGAUUGAAAUUGCUAAUGUUGGUAAUGGGACCUCUCUUUAAAAACCUUAAAAAAAUGUGUUAAUUGUCCUGUAAACCUUUCGCUAUCAUCAUGAUAAAGCCGGAGAUUUGUUUCCAGUGCUUAUCUUAAACGAUUGUGUUGUGCUCUGAUGUUGGCGGUGUUCUUAACCUCCACAUGAGCAUUUUUUUAGAAAACAGCUUUUGUCUCCAUCUCAAGAGCCACUUUUAGGGAGGGGGAGGCUGAUUUGCUAGGCACGUCCUAGAGAAACUGGCUGAGGAGUUGUUUUUUUUUAAAAAAAAUUUAAUAAUUAGAUGAGAUCAUUGAAUUUGGAAGCCUGAUAGCUGCGGGCAGUGGACCCUGGACACCAGAUGUAAGCGUGUUGAGACGUGUGUGUGUGUGUGGUGUCCAUUCAAGCAGAGUACGUGGCUGAUGGACUCCCUGUCCUGCCUACCUUGCUGGACUCAGGGAACAGAGGGGCGAUGGGGCGGGGAGCAAGGAAGGACCUGGGGAAGCUUGCAUGGGGAGAUCCGGGGUGUGUCUUCUUCCUCCGUUUUCACUUGAACUAGCCACUUCUGUUUCAUUAUCGCUAAGCACCUUGGUUUCAGUGUUUUCCAAAGAGGAAAUGGAAGCAAACCCAGCACCCAGAUACAGUGACCACAACACUCUCCCACACAUCUGCCCUCGCGUGGCCGGGGUGUUUGGCCGGUUCGUAAACACGCCAUGGUGAUGACCUAAUAAUAACAGAAGUGUCACGACCUGGCAGGCGGCAGGGGACAUGAAGACGUUUGGCCUGAAAUCCUCUGACGUGUCCAAGCCUCACACUCGGCUUCUGCUUUUCACCCAGUUCCCCAGCACCCAGCGGAACGGGACCCGGGAGGCGCUG